AUAUUUUCGAAAGAAGUUUAUGAUGCACUUCCUGACAAACCAACAGAUGAAGAAUUAGACAUGUUGGAUUUAGCAUAUGAAUUAACAGAUACGUUAUAAUCAGUAAUAUUAAUAAUCAGUAUCAAAUCAUUCACAUUAUUAAUUCUAUUACCUUUUAAUAUUUUAUAAAGUGAAUUUUUCUAUUUAAAUUUAUGUAAAAACAGGUCACGGCUAAGCUGUCAAAUAGUAAUGUCUAAGGAACUAGAUGGAAUUGAGGUAAGAGUUCCAUCAACAAUUAAUGAUGCAAGAGCAUAACUGAAAUUAUCUAUAGGUUUUUGAAAAUUUGUAUACAAUGUUAUACAUCUCUUGUUAAAAAACCCUUGUUAUAAUUAUUAAAAUAUUGGUAUUAAAAAAAUAUAAUAAAGAAUCUUGUGUUUAAAUGUGAAGCUUAUAUAUAUAUACAUAUGUUAUAGUAUAAUUGCAAUUUUGAUAUUUGUACAUUGCCAUUGUAAAAAGCCUAUCCAAUUAUGAAGAAAAUAUAUCUUUUAUUUUUAAUAUA